rnacentral:rRNA from 1 species
GGAUAACCUACCCUUAGGACCGGGAUAACCCUGGGAAACUGGGGAUAAUACUGGAUAGGCAAUUUUUCCUGUAAUGGUUUUUUGUUUAAAUGUUUUUUCGCCUAAGGAUGGGUCUGCGGCCGAUUAGGUAGUUGGUUAGGUAAUGGCUUACCAAGCCGUUGAUCGGUACGGGUUGUGAGAGCAAGAGCCCGGAGAUGGAACCUGAGACAAGGUUCCAGGCCCUACGGGGCGCAGCAGGCGCGAAACCUCCGCAAUGUGAGAAAUCGCGACGGGGGGAUCCCAAGUGCCAUUCUUAACGGGAUGGCUUUUCAUUAGUGUAAAGAGCUUUUGGAAUAAGGGCUGGGCAAGACCGGUGCCAGCCGCCGCGGUAACACCGGCAGCUCUAGUGGUAGCAGUUUUUAUUGGGCCUAAAGCGUCCGUAGCCGGUUUAAUAAGUCUCUGGUGAAAUCCUGUAGCUUAACUGUGGGAAUUGCUGGAGAUACUAUUAGACUUGAGAUCGGGAGAGGUUAGAGGUACUCCCAGGGUAGAGGUGAAAUUCUGUAAUCCUGGGAGGACCGCCUGUUGCGAAGGCGUCUAACUGGAACGAUUCUGACGGUGAGGGACGAAAGUUAGGGGCGCGAACCGGAUUAGAUACCCGGGUAGUCCUAACUGUAAACGAUGCGGACUUGGUGUUAGGGUGGCUUUGAGCUGCUCCAGUGC